rnacentral:rRNA from 1 species
GGGUUGUGAGGUUAAGCGACUAAGCGUACACGGUGGAUGCCCUGGCAGUCAGAGGCGAUGAAGGGCGUGCUAAUCUGCGAUAAGCGCCGGUAAGGUGAUAUGAACCGUUAUAACCGGCGAUACCCGAAUGGGGAAACCCAGUGUGAUUCGUCACACUAUCAUUAACUGAAUCCAUAGGUUAAUGAGGCGAACCGGGGGAACUGAAACAUCUAAGUACCCCGAGGAAAAGAAAUCAACCGAGAUUCCCCCAGUAGCGGCGAGCGAACGGGGAGGAGCCCAGAGCCUGAAUCAGCAUGUGUGUUAGUGGAAGCGUCUGGAAAGGCGCGCGAUACAGGGUGACAGCCCCGUACACAAAAGCGCAUGUGCUGUGAGCUCGAUGAGUAGGGCGGGACACGUGGUAUCCUGUCUGAAUAUGGGGGGACCAUCCUCCAAGGCUAAAUACUCCUGACUGACCGAUAGUGAACCAGUACCGUGAGGGAAAGGCGAAAAGAACCCCGGCGAGGGGAGUGAAAAAGAACCUGAAACCGUGUACGUACAAGCAGUGGGAGCACAGGUUUACCUGUGUGACUGCGUACCUUUUGUAUAAUGGGUCAGCGACUUAUAUUCUGUAGCAAGGUUAACCGAAUAGGGGAGCCGGAGGGAAACCGAGUCUUAAUUGGGCGUUAAGUUGCAGGGUAUAGACCCGAAACCCGGUGAUCUAGCCAUGGGCAGGUUGAAGGUUGGGUAACACUAACUGGAGGACCGAACCGACUAAUGUUGAAAAAUUAGCGGAUGACCUGUGGCUGGGGGUGAAAGGCCAAUCAAACCGGGAGAUAGCUGGUUCUCCCCGAAAGCUAUUUAGGUAGCGCCUCGUGAAUUCAUCUCCGGGGGUAGAGCACUGUUUCGGCUAGGGGGCCAUCCCGGCUUACCAACCCGAUGCAAACUGCGAAUACCGGAGAAUGUUAUCACGGGAGACACACGGCGGGUGCUAACGUCCGUCGUGAAGAGGGAAACAACCCAGACCGCCAGCUAAGGUCCCAAAGUCAUGGUUAAGUGGGAAACGAUGUGGGAAGGCCCAGACAGCCAGGAUGUUGGCUUAGAAGCAGCCAUCAUUUAAAGAAAGCGUAAUAGCUCACUGGUCGAGUCGGCCUGCGCGGAAGAUGUAACGGGGCUAAACCAUGCACCGAAGCUGCGGCAGCGACACUGUGUGUUGUUGGGUAGGGGAGCGUUCUGUAAGCCUGUGAAGGUGUGUCGUGAGGCAUGCUGGAGGUAUCAGAAGUGCGAAUGCUGACAUAAGUAACGAUAAAGCGGGUGAAAAGCCCGCUCGCCGGAAGACCAAGGGUUCCUGUCCAACGUUAAUCGGGGCAGGGUGAGUCGACCCCUAAGGCGAGGCCGAAAGGCGUAGUCGAUGGGAAACGGGUUAAUAUUCCCGUACUUGGUGUUACUGCGAAGGGGGGACGGAGAAGGCUAUGUUGGCCGGGCGACGGUUGUCCCGGUUUAAGCGUGUAGGUGUGUGUUCCAGGUAAAUCCGGUUCACUUUAACACUGAGGCGUGACGACGAGGCACUACGGUGCUGAAGCAACAAAUGCCCUGCUUCCAGGAAAAGCCUCUAAGCAUCAGGUAACAUCAAAUCGUACCCCAAACCGACACAGGUGGUCAGGUAGAGAAUACCAAGGCGCUUGAGAGAACUCGGGUGAAGGAACUAGGCAAAAUGGUGCCGUAACUUCGGGAGAAGGCACGCUGACACGUAGGUGAAGUGAUUUACUCAUGGAGCUGAAGUCAGUCGAAGAUACCAGCUGGCUGCAACUGUUUAUUAAAAACACAGCACUGUGCAAACACGAAAGUGGACGUAUACGGUGUGACGCCUGCCCGGUGCCGGAAGGUUAAUUGAUGGGGUCAGCGCAAGCGAAGCUCCUGAUCGAAGCCCCGGUAAACGGCGGCCGUAACUAUAACGGUCCUAAGGUAGCGAAAUUCCUUGUCGGGUAAGUUCCGACCUGCACGAAUGGCGUAAUGAUGGCCAGGCUGUCUCCACCCGAGACUCAGUGAAAUUGAACUCGCUGUGAAGAUGCAGUGUACCCGCGGCAAGACGGAAAGACCCCGUGAACCUUUACUAUAGCUUGACACUGAACAUUGAGCCUUGAUGUGUAGGAUAGGUGGGAGGCUUUGAAGUGUGGACGCCAGUCUGCAUGGAGCCGACCUUGAAAUACCACCCUUUAAUGUUUGAUGUUCUAACGUGGACCCGUUACCCGGGUUGCGGACAGUGUCUGGUGGGUAGUUUGACUGGGGCGGUCUCCUCCUAAAGAGUAACGGAGGAGCACGAAGGUUGGCUAAUCCUGGUCGGACAUCAGGAGGUUAGUGCAAUGGCAUAAGCCAGCUUGACUGCGAGCGUGACGGCGCGAGCAGGUGCGAAAGCAGGUCAUAGUGAUCCGGUGGUUCUGAAUGGAAGGGCCAUCGCUCAACGGAUAAAAGGUACUCCGGGGAUAACAGGCUGAUACCGCCCAAGAGUUCAUAUCGACGGCGGUGUUUGGCACCUCGAUGUCGGCUCAUCACAUCCUGGGGCUGAAGUAGGUCCCAAGGGUAUGGCUGUUCGCCAUUUAAAGUGGUACGCGAGCUGGGUUUAGAACGUCGUGAGACAGUUCGGUCCCUAUCUGCCGUGGGCGCUGGAGAACUGAGGGGGGCUGCUCCUAGUACGAGAGGACCGGAGUGGACGCAUCACUGGUGUUCGGGUUGUCAUGCCAAUGGCACUGCCCGGUAGCUAAAUGCGGAAGAGAUAAGUGCUGAAAGCAUCUAAGCACGAAACUUGCCCCGAGAUGAGUUCUCCCUGAGACUUAGAGUCUCCUGAAGGAACGUUGAAGACGACGACGUUGAUAGGUCGGGUGUGUAAGCGCAGCGAUGCGUUGAGCUAACCGGUACUAAUGAACCGUGAGGCUUAACCUUACAACGCCGAAG